UGUGCCAGAUCGCGGUAAUUCGUAAAAGACUAGUGUUAUUCAUCUUUAAUAGGUUUAAAGGGUACUUAGACGGUAAAUAAAGCCCCACAAAGGGAACUAAUAUACUAGAGUUUGAUGUAAGGAAGCAUGAAAGUACUGUUGGUGUAGAGAUAAAAUUCUAUCAUACCAAAUAUGGCACAGGUUUAGGCGAAAGCAUCUUCUUAUGUAAUAACUGACGUUGAAGGACGAAGGCUUUGUGUCUCGAACAGGAUUAGAUACCCCAGUAGUCUAAGCAGACAACGAUGAAUGUCAUAGAUUAGAUUUAAUUUAUUCUAUAAAUGAAAGUGUAAGCAUUCCACCUCAAGAGUAAUUUGGCAACAUUGGAACUGAAAUCAUUAGACCGUUUCUGAAACCAGUAGUGAAGUACGUUGUUUAAUUAGAUGGUACGCAAAAAACCUUACCACAAUUUGAAUUAGUAAUAUGUUUUCACAAGCGUUGCACGGCUGUCUACACUUAA
rnacentral:rRNA from 1 species